CUCAACAUGGCAUCACUUCAGGUCUAACUCCUCAACAUGGCAUCACUUCAGGUCUAAACUCCUCAACAUGGCAUCACUUCAGGUCUAACUCCUCAACAUGGCAUCACUUCAGGUCUAACUCCUCAACAUGCAUCACUUCAGGCUAACUCCCCAACAUGCAUCACUUCAGUCUAACUCCUC